AACAGGGUCAUCAACCCUAGGAACUCACCUGUCAGAGGGGAAAGCACCUGCCAGCUCUAAGGUCAUCCCAGCAGGGUGAUGAGCUGGCCACCCGCAGCUGCUAUGGGGCUGGUUGGGCUCAGCUCUCAUCUGGAUUGGUGGGUGCUCUGCACCUGUGCUGAGCAGAGCACUGAGCUCAGUGGCUGGUUAGCCCUGUGCUUCACUUUCUGCCUUCCUUUGUACACAUCAGAGUGUUGACCUGGUGACUGUUCAUUUUGGAAUGCUUUUUUGUGCCUCUAUCUACUUCAUCGAGGACAGUACUCAGACAGCCAACUUUGGGUGUUGCUAUGUUCUACUUGCAGGGCAAGCCCCAAUUCUCAAGACUAUGUGCCCUCUCUGUGCCCUCUCUGCCAGCUAUUCUGCUGCAUUUUCUCCCCUUGGUCCUUUUGUGUCUGCUUAGCCUCUCCUAGAGCAGAAACAGCCCAGGGACCAUACUCUGCAAAGAGCACUCUCAGAUCAUCCAACCUUUACCUGCUGUAAGGUAGGAAAAGGUGUCUGCCAGCCCCCAGAAGAGGAAAGGCUUCUAGCACUAUCUGGCAGCACAGCUUGAUCCUGGCAGAAUGGGCAGAGGAGGGAUCUGGCAAGAACAGGCUGCACCCCCUGAGCUCCUCCUAGCAUACGCAGGUGGGAGAAAAUUGUACUACACAACCACGGAGACCAUGGAAACUCAAUGCUUCUGAUUGUGUGACAAUUUAUAUUGGCACUUCGGUCACUACACUCACAUAGUCGUUGACCGACAUCGGCAAGUGAAGGACAACAAAAAGAAGCCAUGAAUAUGGAUGUCCACAAUAAAAAAUUUUGCUUACACAGACAAAACCUUCUACACAUCCUGCAGCAGCAGCAAAGCACUGGACAGACAAACAGACAGCACUGGAUAGUGCCCUGGAAUGAUGCUGUGUGUUCUAGGUCAGCAAGAACUUCUGAUGUGUUGGACAGGAGCCAGACACUGUCAGUAAAAGGAACAGUGAAGUCUGUGUCCCUCCCACCUCUCCUGAAGUGCUUCCCACCUUGGCCAAAAGCCAAGGUGCCAGGCGUGGUGGGGUUCUUGUCCUGACUCCUCGCUGUGGCACCUCCCAGGGGGCUGGAUGCCUGUUGUACAUUAACUAACCUGUACUAUGGAAGAAGGGUCAUGUGUGCAACCUGGAGAAAAAACAGAACACCAAAAAAACCACUGAGUCAUCUGUGCUAAGUGUUUCAGACCUGAGCUGACCCAGUUUUCUGUGGAAUUAUGUUUCUACACAGGGCAGGGUCACCCCAUGGGGUGAAAUGCUGGUACAAACGAUGCCGUUGUGCUGCACACAAGAGCUUUAUUAGGAAGAUCCAUGUUACAAGGCCUUGAUUUGUCUGUCAUCUGAUCCUUUCUGAAUAUGCUGUCAAUGUAGUUGAUUUCAAAAUAAUCUCUGUAUUGUUUGGGUCUGCCUUGGUGUAGCAUGACAUUCAGGAUUCCUUUACAGGCAACUGUGCAGAGCAGGAAAAUCUAUGUGAAAUGCUUCCUACUGGAGUCACCAUCUGGCCAAUAUUCAUCUUGUUUAGUGAAAUACCAAGAUAUCCAUAGAACGCAGGUGUUAAUGCAGAUCAUAAGGCACAAGUGACCGCAGUAAUAAACCAACAUGAAAUGAAAUGUAAUUAAUGCA
rnacentral:lncRNA from 1 species